AAAAUAAAAAGCUUUUGCACAGUGAAGGAAACCAUCAACAAAAUUAAAAAGCAAGCCUCCACACUUCAGUUAGGCCAAAUCUGCCUGAUCUUUUCUUCCAAGCCAAGGGUGACUACCCUGCAAUGGCAUGUGGCAAGUGGAAGGACCAAGGAAUUGACAUUCUCCAGGAGCAGUCUUCCCAAGUGACUGGUAGAGGUGGUGGGUGAAUUCUUGAGCUCAGAGCAGCGAACAUCAAAAUAGAGAUUAUGGGAGACUUGAUGUGAAUGUGAAUGGGAAAGGAUGAGAUUUAUGGGGGAAUUCACAAGAGGAGAGUCCAUUUAUUAUAAUUACAGACAUCUUAUUGAACACUAAGUGCCAGACACUGGGCUAAACCCUGCUAGCAUAAGAGAUGGGUGCUGUCCUGGAGAGAGUCACACUGUUCCAGGAAAGACACUCCUAGCAAUUCAUCAAGAAAUUCCAAGAUGAUUCAUGACUUAAGAAAGCUGAGAGCAAUGUGCAAUGGGAGUACUGAUGAGAGAGAAGCUUGGAAGGCUGAUGAAGAUGUACUCCAAAUUCACAAAGGAAGUAUAUCUGUGGUAAAGGAUGAAUAGGACUUUGGUGGACCCAAGUUGAGAAGAGCCUUCUAGACAGAGAAAACAACCUGUAUAACGUUUGAAGUUACACGGAGUGUUUGGGUGGACAGCUGGAGAAAAGCUCAUCGUGGGGUGGAGAAGAGGCAGGAGAUAAGGCUGAGAGGACGUGAAACAUCUGAUUAUAAAAAGUCUUGUCUCCUUCAACUGUAGAACAGAUGAUAGGAGGAGGAAGGUCUUGAUGCAUCAGAAAAUGCAAGUGCAAUGCCUUGUCCGUCACUUCCUUUUCUGCAUGUCUCUGGUGCAAGGAGAAAAGGGAGAGGAGAAGAGACUCAGGAGAGAGGCUGUGUAUCUUCAGGUACAUCCAUCAUUGAUGAUCACAUGCCAGACACCAUACUAGUUCUUUCCAAACCUUAUCCCGUUUCAUCCUCACGGUAAGCCAGUGAGGGAGGACUGUUCAACUGUUUUGCUGGUGAAGACAUUGAGGCUUAGAAGAGGUCUAGAAAAUUGUAAGAUUUGGAAUCAUGACUACCUGCUUAAAAAGCCCUUAACCACUACAUUAUACUACUUCUCUUUUGGAAGAAGCAAAUGUGGAGUGGACAGCAGCUGCUGUGGUCGCCUUUCCUGGAUUGGGUGACAGCUAAGUGCACUGAGUUCUGCUUAUGGAGCCACAAAAAUCAGAAGAAACCAGAAGGAGCAGCCGUCAUGUUGGAAGUCAUUUGUUUUGGUAUUUACUUUGGUGAAGUCUCCAGAAGAUAUUUUGGAUUUGGAGUACUUGAUUUUUCACCAGAUUCAUCCUUAGCAACUGCUAAAAGCAUUCAACAGAGGACAAGAGAAUAAAAAAAUUACUUAAUUCACACAGUGGCAAUGCCAGCGCUCAAGUGACUAUUGGCCUUUGGUGAACCAUUUUCUUUCAGAGCCCUCGUAUAGCACUAUCAUAAUUCUGUAACACCUCAACGCUGACCUUUUCGUUUGUAAAAGGCUUAAGUAAACAAAAUUAUAGCUUUUCUGCUACACUCCCAGCAUUUUUGAGCUACUUAGUGUUUUUGAACUUUAACAUUUGUCUGAAGAACCCAGUUACUUGAAUGAAAAAGUUUGUCAUUGACCUGUCAUUUAACACUUGACAAAGUGGGGUCUAAUUAGUGUGGCUUUUAAAUCUUUUUUCUACAAACGGAAUUCUGAAAUGUAGAUAGAUAAGAAAUAUAAAGUGGAUCAGAUGUUUUCAUAAAUAAAUAAUGAAAACCAGA